GCUGUGUCUCCUGCAGGAGGAACUUUUUUAAGCUCCUCUUGUUGAUUGAGUUCUCAUUCAGUGUCUGACAAGAUGGGAGCUGAGUCAGUUUUGGUCCUUGUCAUUCUGGCUGUUUGCUUUGGCAAUGUUUUAGGUUUGCCAGUUGAGAGAAAAAGCCAGAAUGCUGAUGAUGAAGUACAGAGGACAGAGAACGGAAUCUCUUCUUUAAGGAACAGCCUUAGUCUUCUACAGUCAGUGGAUUCCAGGACGAAUAAAGUCGAUGAAGUACAAAUGGAAACCAAUGA